CCUACGGGGGGCAGCAGUCGAGAAUCAUUCACAAUGGGGGAAACCCUGAUGGUGCGACGCCGCGUGGGGGAAUGAAGGUCUUCGGAUUGUAAACCCCUGUCAUGUGGGAGCAAAUUAAAAAGAUAGUACCACAAGAGGAAGAGACGGCUAACUCUGUGCCAGCAGCCGCGGUAAUACAGAGGUCUCAAGCGUUGUUCGGAAUCACUGGGCGUAAGGCGUGCGUAGGCGGUUUCGUAAGUCGUGUGUGAAAGGCGCGGGCUCAACCCGCGGACGGCACAUGAUAUUGCGAGACUAGAGUAAGUGAGAGGGAACCGGAAUUCUCGGUGUAGCAGUGAAAUGCGUAGAUAUCGAGAGGAACACUCGUGGCGAAGGCGGGUUCCUGGACAUUAACUGACGCUGAGGCACGAAGGCCAGGGGAGCGAAAGGGAUUAGAUACCCUUGUAGUC
rnacentral:rRNA from 1 species